rnacentral:rRNA from 1 species
GACGAACGCUGGCGGCGUGCCUAACACAUGCAAGUCGAGCGGGGUUGAAGCGAGGGGUAACUUGAGCUUCUACCUAGCGGCGGACGGGUGAGUAACGCGUGGGCAACCUGCCUCAAGGUCUGGGAUAACAGUUCGAAAGGGCUGCUAAUACCGGAUAUGCCUAUGGCCUCGCAUGGGGCUAUGAGCAAAGGGGAAACCUGCCUUGAGAUGGGCCCGCGUCCCAUCAGCUAGUUGGUGAGGUGAAGGCUCACCAAGGCGACGACGGGUAGCCGGCCUGAGAGGGUGACCGGCCACACUGGGACUGAGACACGGCCCAGACUCCUACGGGGGGCAGCAGUGGGGGAUCUUGCACAAUGGGCGAAAGCCUGAUGCAGCGACGCCGCGUGAGCGAAGAAGGCCUUGGGUUGUAAAGCUCUGUCUGGAGGGACGAAACAAAUGACGGUACCUCCGGAGGAGCCACGGCUAACUACGUG